CAAUAGCGUAUAUUAAUGUUGUUGCAGUUAAAAAGCUCGUAGUUGGAUUUCUGACAGGAGCGACCGGUCCGAUCAUUUUGGUCGAGUACUUUGUGUUGUCUCUAGUCAUCCUUAUGGAGAACGCUCGUGGUAUUAAGUUAUCGUGAGUGGGAACCAUAUCGUUUACUGUGAAAAAAUUAGAGUGUUUAAAGCAGGCAAUCGCUAUGAAUACGUUAGCAUGGAAUAAUAAGAUAGGACUUUGGUACUAUUUUGUUGGUUUACAUACCAAGGUAAUGAUUAAGAGGGACAGUUGGGGGUAUUCGUAUUUAAUUGUCAGAGGUGAAAUUCUUGGAUUUAUGAAAGACGAACUACUGCGAAAGCAUUUACCAAGGAUGUUUNCAUUAA
rnacentral:rRNA from 1 species